ensembl:lncRNA
CUUGUCGCCACCAACGGUGUGUCACUCACACAGGAAGUGAUAUUGGCUGUCCUGUCGCUGCUUGUUAACAGCUGGUUCACUAAUGAUCCUCCGCCUGUCGGCUCGCAGUGCAGCGUGGAGAGAGAGCCGCAAGCGGCGUCCUCAUCAGUCCUGUCGGCCCGUCUCAGCACACCGCCUGCGGGGAAAAGACCCUCGGCACUGCACGCCGCAAAUUCCUUUGUAAACAAGACACAGGUAGACACUGGAUUUGCAGAAAGACUGAUCCAUCUAUACUGGAUCCGACAGGAAUGGCCCAGCACUCUUAUGUUCCUUGUGACAGAUGCCCGAGGAGCCAUUGAGGAAACGGGAGCUGACUUCAUUGUAAGCUGAUGAAAGAGACAGACCUUGGCCUCCCAGAAGGAGUUAUUCUCCGAGGCUACUUGAAGAGGGAUAGUACCGCACAGGUCACAGUAUCCUGCUGAAAGAGGCCAC